rnacentral:misc_RNA from 1 species
GAAAUGCGAUAAGUAGUGUGAAUUGCAGAAUUCAGUGAAUCAUCGAAUCUUUGAACGCACAUUGCGCCCCUUGGUAUUCCAUGGGGCAUGCCUGUUCGAGCGUCAUCUACACCCUCAAGCUCUGCUUGGUGUUGGGCGUCUUUGUCCCGCCUCCGCGCGCGGACUCGCCCCAAAUUCAUUGGCAGCGGUCCUUGCCUCCUCUCGCGCAGCACAUUGCGCUUCUCGAGGUGUUGCGGCCCGCGUCCAGAAAGCACUCGUUACCGUCUUUGACCUCGGAUCAGGUAGGGAUACCCGCUGAACUUAAGC